rnacentral:miRNA from 1 species
UGUAAUGGUACUGAACAAAGACGC